CCUACGGGGGGCAGCAGUGGGGAAUAUUGCACAAUGGGCGCAAGCCUGAUGCAGCCAUGCCGCGUGUAUGAAGAAGGCCUUCGGGUUGUAAAGUACUUUCAGCGGGGAGGAAGGGAGUAAAGUUAAUACCUUUGCUCAUUGACGUUACCCGCAGAAGAAGCACCGGCUAACUCCGUGCCAGCAGCCGCGGUAAUACGGAGGGUGCAAGCGUUAAUCGGAAUUACUGGGCGUAAAGCGCACGCAGGCGGUUUGUUAAGUCAGAUGUGAAAUCCCCGGGCUCAACCUGGGAACUGCAUCUGAUACUGGCAAGCUUGAGUCUCGUAGAGGGGGGUAGAAUUCCAGGUGUAGCGGUGAAAUGCGUAGAGAUCUGGAGGAAUACCGGUGGCGAAGGCGGCCCCCUGGACGAAGACUGACGCUCAGGUGCGAAAGCGUGGGGAGCAAACAGGAUUAGAUACCCCUGUAGUCCG
rnacentral:rRNA from 1 species